UCUCUCUCUCUCUCGGUCUCUAUUUUCUGUGUUAUUGUUUUUGUUUCAAUGUCUGUUUAAUUUUAAUUUGUGUGUAAAUAAACACAAAGGUUUUGCUUGUAAGUUAAAGCAGGGAUUGUGUGUAUCGGCGUUGUGCAACAAUAAGUGCACUGUGUCCGAAAGAGUUCUCUGCAACAUUGAUCUGGGGAAGGUGGGCAGUUGUGUUUCAUCUUUACCGUUGAUAUUUUCAACAAUCAUCUUCCCCACAUCGCUUUUUUUCUUUUUCUUUUUUUUUUAUAAAAACAUCUUUAUUUUCCCUUUGAUUUUUUUUUUUUUGUGAGGCCCUUUUAUUUAUUUUAAAUGUUUAUUUUUGGGCAAUCAUUUAACAUUAUAUUUGAAAUUGUUCUUUAAUUGUUUAAUCUGUUUUUUUGGAUUGUCUAAAAGAUAUAAUAGGAAUGGGAAUGUGCUAAAAUUAAUCACAAAAGGCGUAUAGGCAAGCAAACUUCAUCGUGGAAGGAUUGAAUCUCAUUUCAUUUACUUCCUCCACAACCUCUCUAAACUGAACUGUGAAUUUACAAAGGGUAACAAACUAACAAUGAAAUUAUAUCCUGCAACUAAGAAAAGAAACCAGAUAGGUGAAUUUCCUAACCUGCAAUCUUAAGGAGUUCUUAAAGAAAACCCUUAAAUGCAUUGAACAAAGCUAAAUCCCAUAUCAAUUCCGUCAAAAACAGAAACCAAGGAGAUAAAGCCAGUAAACAAUCCAAAUUUCUGCCUCUAGCCCAGACGAGCAGAUGAAGAUAUUUGAUUCCGGGAAGGAAGUUCAUUACUUACUAGCGUUCUUUGUUUGGCACCAGCUUUUUCAUUAGUAAAAAGCUUUCAGCAAAAAGCAAAGCAAAAUAAUGAUUGACAUCUAUUUACUUACUAAGUAUUAUAGUAUUAUUAUUAUAUAUUGGAUGAGGUUGUAUACGGGAAUGAAAAACACAAUUCCUGAUUAUGAUUCUGUUGUUUCAAAGAGAAAGAGAGAGAGAGAUAUAAUGAAGAUCCCUGAAAUCCUCAAUGGAAAAGUAAUACACUUGGAGCAUCAGCCUGCGUUUCACAGGCCCAUCAUGCAUCCAAAGGAGGAUCAGCCUGCGCUUCGCAGGCCCAUCAUGCAUCCAGAGGAGGAUUGGCCUGCCCUUUGUAGGCCCACCAUGCAUCCAGAGGAGGAUCAGCCUGCGCUUCACAGGCCCAUCAUGCAACCAGAGGAGGAUCAGCCUGCGCUUCACAGGCCCACCAUGCAUCCAGAGGAGGAUCACAGGCACCCCAUGCAUCCGGAGGAGGAUGAGCCUGCUAUUCGGGUUUAUCGUGUGAACUGUGCCUCUGUUGUUGGAAUCUCCAGUUUAAAGAUGAAUGGAUCUGGAUUCAUGUGGGACAAUAUGGGUCACAUUGUUACCAAUUGCCAUGUCAUUAAUGUCAUUUAGAAUGCUUCUGAUUUUAGGUUCGUUCAUUUGCUUGUUUAUCAAUUCUCUCUCUUUUUUUGGUCUUUUGUUCAUUAUGUUAUUGUUGUAAAAAUGAGAUUCUUUUUUGUGCGAUCACCAAAGCUGUGGAGGGUGGAGAAAGCCUGGUGUGCAACAUAUAUUUCCUUAUUGUUCAUGGUGCUAUUUAUGAACAGGGUCACUAUUUUGACCGCACAACUUAUGGUGCAAAAGUAAUUGGGUUUUGCAAAAAUGAGGAUGUUGCUAUGUUGCGUGCGGUAGAACUUUGAGACAAAGUGAAGCCUUAAGCAUUGGUCUCUGUGCGAACCUACAUGUUGGUAAUUCAGUUUUUGCUAUUAGAAGCCCUGUGAUUAUGAGUUUUUAACGCUGCUUGCAAAACAUAUUUUUUUCAAUGCAAUAUUGCUUGAAAGUGUAUUGUUUAUCUUGUAUGUAAAGUAGAAAUUACACUUACCAGAUAAACAAUACACUUUCAAGCAAUAGUGCAUUGAAAAAAAUAUGUUUUGCAAGUAGCGUUAAAAACUCAUACUCACAGGGCUUCCAAUAGCAAAAACUGAUUGACCAACAAGUAGGUUCGUAGAGUGACAAAUGCUUAUAGGUUUCACUUUGCCUUCCAGUUGCUUCCACAUGCAACAAAGCAACAUCCUUAUUUUUGCAAAACCCAACGACUUUUGCAUCAUAAGCUGUGCUGUCAAAAAUAGUGACCUUGUUCAUAAAUAGCACCAUGAACAAUAAGGAAAUAUAUGUUGCACACCGGGCUUUCUCCACCCUCCAUAGCUUUGGAGAUUGCACAAAAAAGAAUCCCAUUUUUACAACAAUAACAUAAUGAACAAAAGACCAAAAAAAGAGAGAAAAUUGAUAAACAAGGAAAUGAAAAGAAAAAAAUGAACGAACCUAAAAUCAGAAGCAUUCUGAAUGACAUGGCAAUUGGUAACAAUGUGACCCAUAUCGUCCCAAAUGAAUCCAGAUCCAUUCCUCUUCAAACUGCUAAAAACCACAAUGGCAUCAUAUAGCAAACACACAAUUUAAAAACAAAAACGGAACAUAAUGAGCAGAAUAACUAGGGAAAAUGUUAGUCUACUAGUGGCAAAAUUCGUAGUGGAGGUGCAGCCUUAUAAGAUCAUUAUAAUUUGUCAAUAAGCGUUUUGUCAUUGAGCUAGGAGAGGUUCCAUAGAGAUUGUGGUCUUAGUGAUUUGUCAUUUAUUAUGGGUGGCGAUAGUUGCUUUUUUAUUGAAUCCAAACUUUUUCAACUGGUGGUAGAGGAAGGGGGACUGUAUUUUUCUUUAAGGAUUUUUGAGCGGAGUAGGUACUUCAUGAAGUCGGUCUUCAUGGGUAAGAAUGUGGCACAAUGGUUGAUGAAGAGUAUAGAACAUAUUGUCGUUGGGGUCAGUCCAAAGUAUUUUUAUACGUUUAAGGAAGGUGAUUUAGCCUACACCCUCCAACGGAGCUCCAAUUCUUUUGGCUUGUUCCUACUGCUGACUGAAUUUAAAGUUGGCGGGUCUAGGAGGUCCAUUUUUAUUCUAGUAGGCAAAGCAAAGAAUGGAUGGAGGGUUUUUGGGUUAGAGUUAAGGAAGAUAUUAGAACUUGAAAACUAUGUGAAUGGUGGCACUGGGCAAUUGAAAUUUGUGGCUCACUUCAUAAGGAUAGAUUAAGGGUUCAACCUUUUAAAUCUUUUGCCGACACGGUGUGUGGGCAUCAGGUGCAGGUAAGGGGCAGAAAUUAGCCUUAUCGGUUAAGCGCCCAUGAUAAAGGGAAAUGACUGUUAGGGGAUAAUAAAGGGGAGAAGCAAAACCUGCUGAGCGAAACGGCACUAAACUUACUAGGUUCAGCGACUCUAGGAGGUACAAAAGGGGGUUCUUAGUGCAGUACAAAGGACUUUAAUUUUGGAAAGAUAUAUCGAGUAGGAAAUAAAAGGAGAUCUCCGUUGAAUUUCAAAUCAAAUUGGACUGAACAGGUUUAUGGAAAAAAACGUGAACUGAGGAACUCAGACUGGACAGGAAAAAGCUUGAUUGUAGAAGUGAAUGGGAAAGGAAAAAGGAGUGUGGCAUGGAGAAAAGGUGGUCUGAGGAGUUCUAUUUGGGUUUCAAGGGGUCAGAGGGAUCACAUGGUGGGUUCUUCUAGUGUAUCACAGGUUCACAAACCUGUGGUGGGCUUAAACCAAGAUGGUAUCUAAGUGGGCCUUCCAAUGAUCCCUUUUCCAGAGCCCACCAGCCCAUCUAGGAUGGAAGAGGGUGUAAGCCCAUUUGUGGGUGACUUGAGACUUUUAAAUAAGGAAGCCCAUGCAUCAGUGAUGUCCAAAGAACCUCACACAACCUCGGAUGCUCAGAAUGUCAAAGGCGCUAAUGUUUUUCUCACUGAGGAGUCAUUGGCGCCACCGGUAAUGGUCGUCACAGCAAGACAACAUGCCUUGAAGUCGGCGAUGAGCUCGGUGGGUCAAUCUGUGAUGAACUUUUGUCCUGCAAAGGCAACGGUGGUGAACCGUGGUCCUUUUUUCGAUGAGUUUCACGCCGAGGACUCACCGGCGACACUAGAUAGGGCCGAUCUUGCUCCAUUCCACACCACGAGGACAGAUACGAUGUCUGUUCCUCCAAUUGAGUUUAUGGGUAGCCUUACGGAGACAUCAGUGGAGGCAGAGUGUCCUUUUUCUGUUGGGCAUAGCACCGAUGGGCCUUUGAUCAUACUGGGUAAGGCAGAAACUGAGGGUGGCAGGGCAUUAAAAGGUCUUGUGUUAUCUAAUUAUGUUCUGAGUUUAUCGAGAGUUGGGAUUGAGGAAUUGGGUGUUCCGGGUGGAGUUGAAGGUGGUACGGUUGAGGGUGCUUAUGAUAUUCAGGGGAUAGACACACCCCAUCAGACUAACCAGCUGGUGUUGGCAUUGACUGAGGUCGAUGAGGGCCUGGAUGAUGUGGAUAGCUCUUCUCCCUUGAUGACUUUUAAUCCUCUCGGGUUGGUUGUGAUGGCUGAAUUGAAUAGUAACACUGAGGUGAUGAGGUUGGAUAACACAUUGAAUGUUUCUAAUUGGGUGAAACGUUGACUCCUCGGGUUCAGUAAGAUAAUGGGGUGGGUCGACAUGAGAAGAGGUGUAUUAUGCUACUACAAAGACUUGAGACGGAGAUUGAGGCGGCCAAUCUGGUGCAUAGGAAUGCUGCCCACCGAAAAGCUGUCUCCAAGGAUAAAGGGAAGAGGGAGCUGAGGAAUUUGAUUUCUUCGGUUAAUUAUGAAGGGAGAUAGUUUUUUUUUCUUUGAUAGCAUUACUGUAGGUUGUAGUAGGGAGUUUACACUUUCAAUGAAGUUAAGAAUGGUGUCAUGGAAUGUUCGAGGUUUGAAUGAUGCGCGGAAACAUUUGGUAGUUAGAAAUUUAUUACGGGAAUGGAAUUGUGAUGUUGUUUGCCUUUAAGAAACUAAGCUUGCGGGCAUAGAUAGACAGCUGAUUUGCAGCUUGUGUAGUUGUCCCUACGUAGACUGGGUAGCAUUGGAUGCGGAUCAGACACCUAGUGGGUUUUGAUGAUGUGGGAUAGGAGGGCUUUAGAAAAGCUAGAGGUAUUGGUGGGUCAAUUUUCCGUAUCAGUUUGGUGACAGGGUUUGGGGGAUGGUUUUAUUUGGGUAUGUUCUGGGGUUUAUGGCCUGAAUGAUAAUAACUUGAGGGGGCAGAUGUGGGAUGAGCUGAUGGGAAUUUAGCAACUUUGGGAAGUCCCAUGGUGUUACUAGGGGAUUUCAACAUUGUUCGUUUCCCAAGUGAACGGUUAGGAGGAUCACAACUUACCCUGGCUAUGGAGAAUUUUUCUAAGUUCAUUAAGGAGCUUAGCUUGAUAGAUCUGCCAUUGGAAGAAGGGAGUUAUACUUGGUCGAGUGGUUCGGAUUAGCCCUCGAUGUCUAGGAUAGAUAGGGUUCUGGUUUCUCAUGACUAGGAGGAUCACUAUCCGGAUGUGAUCCAACGGGUUUUACUUCAUCCUAUUUCAGACCACUUCCCCAUAUUAGUGGAAGCAGGAAGGAUAUUAAGGGGGAAAAGUCCUUUUAGGUUUGAGAACAUGUGGCUAAAGAAGGAUGGGUUCAAAGAUAGGGUUCAUUCUUGGUGGAAUUGAUAUUCCUUCUCAAGUACUCCCAGUUUCGUACUUGCUAAGAAGUUGAAGGCAUUGAAGGAAGAUAUUAUUCUGUGGAACCGGAGUGAGUUUCGAAAUGUAGAGCGUCUAAAAAAAGAAUUGUUGGAGGCUUCGAAAUUAUUGGAUGUUAGGGAAGGGAAGCAUAGCCUUUCUGAAGUGGAGUUAGGUGAGAGGGUUGUGUUUGAGAUCUCAAAUACAAAACCUUCUCUCAUUGGAAGAAGUCUCAUGGAGACAGAAAUCGAGGAUGCUUUGCAUUAAGGGAGGAGAUAACAAUACCAAAUUCUUCCACAAGGUGACCAAUUCUUGGAGAAGGUAUAAUCAUAUUAGCAUGUUGGAGGUGAAUGGGGUUAUCUAUAAGGAUGAAUCUGAGAUGGCAGACCAAGCUAUACAGUUUUAUAAAAACUUGUACAAGGAGUUAGAGGAGUGGAGGCCUUUUGUGGAAGGUUUGGAGUUUGAUUAGAUAGAAGGGUUUGAUUAGAUAGAAGUCAACAAAAAGUUAAAUUGUUCUUGCACAUGCAACACCACUCUACAAGGCAGAUGGAGCUCAUUAUUGCAUGAUGAGCUCAUAUCUACAAGGCAUAAUAGAAAAUUUUAAAGCAUGCAAAAAUAAUUGUUUGGUUUUCUGUUAUGUUCUUAUCAUGCGUGGGGGUGCUGCGUGGUAAUCGCAAGAAGAAUAUUUCUGUCUCUCUUGAGCUGAAUCUUGAUGAGUCAGAGUCAGAUGUUACGCUUAGUACCAGAAAAGUGUUUAAGUGUUGAGGGAGAUUCACCAUGCUUAGAAAUGCACCAGUACUCUCUUAAUUGGCUGAUUCUCUUCUAAAGAUUCAUCUUAUGCAAUGGGCAGAACCAGAUAAUUCGAAGUCUGGUUGAACCUGUAUCUUCCAUGUUAUAAUUCUUCUUGCCCUUCUGUUGUUAUUGUAUAAUCGAAUUGUUGAGCAAGUUGUAACUUCAUGUUGUAGCUGAUUUUGUGUUGAUGAAUCAAUGUAAUUUAAACAAAUUUGUUAUACAAAUAGCAUGUUGUGAUGGAGUACUACUUCAUGUUGUAGCUGAUUUUGUGUUGAUAAAUUGAUGUAAUUUAAACAAAUUUGUUACACAAA